UACGUAGGGGGCAAGCGUUGUCCGGAAUUAUUGGGCGUAAAGAGCUCGUAGGCGGUUUGUCGCGUCUGCUGUGAAAACUCGGGGCUUAACUCCGGGCCUGCAGUGGGUACGGGCAGACUAGAGUGCGGUAGGGGAGACUGGAAUUCCUGGUGUAGCGGUGAAAUGCGCAGAUAUCAGGAGGAACACCGGUGGCGAAGGCGGGUCUCUGGGCCGUAACUGACGCUGAGGAGCGAAGGCCAGGGGAGCAAACGGG
rnacentral:rRNA from 1 species